GUCCCUUCGAGGAUAUCUGAUAAAAUUGAAACCAUACAUAGAAGAUUAGCAUGGCCCCUGACACGCACAAAUCGAGAAAUGGUACAAAUUUUA
rnacentral:snRNA from 1 species